CUACGGGACGCUGCAGUGGGGAAUAUUGGACAAUGGGCGAAAGCCUGAUCCAGCAAUACCGCGUGAAUGAUGAAGGCCUUAGGGUUGUAAAGUUCUUUUAGUUGGAAAGAUAAUGACGGUACCGACAGAAAAAGCCCCGGCUAACUCCGUGCCAGCAGCCGCGGUAAGACGGAGGGGGCUAGCGUUGUUCGGAAUUACUGGGCGUAAAGGGCGCGUAGGCGGAUUAGUAAGUUGGGAGUGAAAGCCCGGGGCUUAACCUCGGAACUGCUUUCAAAACUGCUAGUCUUGAGUGAAGUAGGGGAUGAUGGAAUUCCUAGUGUAGAGGUGAAAUUCUUAGAUAUUAGGAGGAACACCGGUGGCGAAGGCAGUCAUCUGGACUUCAACUGACGCUGAGGCGCGAAAGCGUGGGGAGCAAACAGGAUUAGAUACCCUCGUAGUC
rnacentral:rRNA from 1 species